CCUACGGGGGGCUGCAGUGGGGAAUAUUGGACAAUCGGCGAAAGCCUGAUCCAGCCAUGCCGCGUGUGUGAAGAAGGCCUUCGGGUUGUAAAGCACUUUCAGUGGGGAAGAAAGCCUUGGGGCUAAUACCCUCGAGGAAGGACAUCACCCACAGAAGAAGCACCGGCUAACUCCGUGCCAGCAGCCGCGGUAAUACGGAGGGUGCGAGCGUUAAUCGGAAUUACUGGGCGUAAAGCGCGCGUAGGCGGUCUGAUAAGCCGGUUGUGAAAGCCCCGGGCUCAACCUGGGAACGGCAUCCGGAACUGUCAGGCUAGAGUGCAGGAGAGGAAGGUAGAAUUCCCGGUGUAGCGGUGAAAUGCGUAGAGAUCGGGAGGAAUACCAGUGGCGAAGGCGGCCUUCUGGACUGACACUGACGCUGAGGUGCGAAAGCGUGGGUAGCAAACAGGAUUAGAUACCCUAGUAGUC
rnacentral:rRNA from 1 species